GGGCCCAGCUGGCCUCUCGGGCCUCUCCGACCGCUUCGCUACCCUACCGAAGAGGAGGAGGAGCGGAGAAGUGAGGGGCGGCAGAACAUAGCCAUCAGAAACUUACUUGAAAAUGGCUGGCCACUUUGGAGACCCAUGAGCUGGACUGAGAAGAGUUUCAGAAAUUACUGGAUCAAAAGCAAGUUAGGCUUCUGACAUCUAAGUGUGGGGCCUAGAAGGAAGACGAAAUAUAAGGAAGGAAAAAAGGAGCCCCUCAUACUAAGCAAAAACUACAAGGUAAUGAACAACCCCUUCCCCCAAAGUUAUAUCCUGGGAAAAAGGAAAAAGCACAGUGGCCAAAGUG